rnacentral:rRNA from 1 species
UACGAAGGGGGCUAACGUUGUUCGGAAUUACUGGGCGUAAAGCGCGUGUAGGCGGCAGCGUGUGUCGGGCGUGAAAUCCCACGGCUCAACCGUGGAAGUGCACUCGAAACUGCGCAGCUUGAGUCCUGGAGAGGAAGGUGGAAUGCUUGGUGUAGAGGUGAAAUUCGUAGAUAUCAAGCGGAACACCGGUGGCGAAGGCGACCUUCUGGACAGUGACUAACGCUGAGACGCGAAAGCGUGGGGAGCAAACAGG